CCUACGGGUGGCUGCAGUCGAGAAUCAUUCACAAUGGGGGAAACCCUGAUGGUGCGACGCCGCGUGGGGGAAUGAAGUUCUUCGGAUGGUAAACCCCUGUCAUGUGGGAGCAAAUUAAAAAGAUAGUACCACAAGAGGAAGAGACGGCUAACUCUGGGCCAGCAGCCCCGUUAAUACAGAGGUCGCAAGCGUUGUUCGGAAGCACUGGGCGUCAAGCGUGCGUAUGCUGGUUCGUAAGUCGUAUGUGAAUGGCGCGGGCUCAACCCGCGGCCUGCCCAUGAUACUGCGAGACUAGAGUAAUGGAGGGGGAACCGGAAUUCUAGGUGUAGCAGUGAAAUGCGUAGAUAUGGAGAGGAACACUCGUGGCGAAGGCGGGUUACUGGACAUUAACUGACGCUGAGGCACGAAGGCCAGGGGAGCGAAAGGGAUUAGAUACCCGUGUAGUC
rnacentral:rRNA from 1 species